rnacentral:rRNA from 1 species
UAUACGKGRAGGCMSAACMCKUGGGGAAUUUUGGACCAUUGGGGCACCUUGAUCAGCAUUCCGCURAAGUAARAAGACCUUCGGGUGUAAGCUCUUCAGMCAGAACGAACCGGUGGCCCUAAUACGGCUAYUAAUGACCGUACCUGAAGAAGRAGCACCGGCUAACUACKKGCCAGCAGCCGCGGUAAUACGUAAGGUGSGAGCGUUAUUCGGAWUUACUGGGSGUAAAGCKGGSGCAGCGGUUYUWUAAGACAGAUGUGAAAUCCCGGGCUUAACCUGGGACCUGCGUUUGUGACUKUAGGACUUGAGUGUGGCAGAGGGGGGGUGAAUUCCACGUGUAGCAGUGAAAUGCGUAGAGAUGUGGAGGAACACCGAUGGCGAAGGCAGCCCCCUGGGUCAACACUGACGCUCAUGCACGAAAGCGUGGGGAGCAAACAGGAUUAGAUACCCUGGUAGUCCACGCCCUAAACGAUGCGAACUAGGUGUUGGGGAAGGAGACUUUCUUAGUACCGCAGCUAACGCGUGAAGUUCGCCGCCUGGGGAGUACGGUCGCAAGAUUAAAACUCAAAGGAAUUGACGGGGACCCGCACAAGCGGUGGAUGAUGUGGAUUAAUUCGAUGCAACGCGAAAAACCUUACCUACCCUUGACAUGUCAGGAAGUCUGCUGAGAGGUAGAUGUGCCCGAAAGGGAACCUGAACACAGGUGCUGCAUGGCUGUCGUCAGCUYGUGUCGUGAGAUGUUGGGUUAAGUCCCGCAACGAGCGCAACCCUUGUCAUUAWUKSMCRUCAUUCAGUUGGGCACUUUAMUGAGAYUKCCSGKGMCAAACCGGAGGAAGGUGGGGAYGACGUCAAGUCMUCAUGGCCCUUAUGGGUAGGGCUUCACACGUCAUACAAUGGUCGGUACAGAGGGUSGCCAACCCGSGAGGGGGAGCCAAUCCCACAAAGCCGAUCGUAGUCCGGAUCGCAGUCUGCAACUCGAMUGCGUGAAGUCGGAAUCGCUAGUAAUCGUGGAUCAGCAUGUCACGGUGAAUACGUUCCCGGGUCUUGUACMCACCSCCSGUCACACCAUGGGAGUGGGUUCCACCWGAAGUAGGUAGUSUAACYSCAAGGGGGGCSMUUUACRCGSYGGGAUUCAYSAMKGGGKUGAAGUCGUAACAAGGUAACCGU